rnacentral:rRNA from 1 species
GAUGAACGCUAGCGGGAGGCUUAAUACAUGCAAGUCGUACGGUAACAGGUGUAGCAAUACAUGCUGACGAGUGGCGCACGGGUGAGGAACACGUACGCAAUCUGCCUUUGACUGGAGGAUAGCCCUGGGAAACUAGGAUUAAUACUCCAUAACAUCACGGUGUGGCAUCACAUUGUGAUUAAACUUUCGGGGGUCAAAGAUGAGCGUGCGUUUGAUUAGGUAGUUGGCGGGGUAACGGCCCACCAAGCCUACGAUCAAUAGCUGGCGUGAGAGCGCGACCAGCCACACGGGAACUGAGACACGGUCCCGACUCCUACGGGAGGCAGCAGUAGGGAAUAUUGGACAAUGGCUGAAAAGCUGAUCCAGCCAUCCCGCGUGAAGGCAGAAGGUCCUAUGGAUUGUAAACUUCUUUUCUCUGGGAAGAAAAGGCGGGUUUCUACCUGCUCUGACGGUACCAGAGGAAUAAGCACCGGCUAACUCCGUGCCAGCAGCCGCCGUAAUAC